UUUUUUCUAGUAUAAAUAGUACAUUUGACUUCCAAUCAAAAAGCUUGAAAGACAUCAAGAAAAAUA
rnacentral:tRNA from 1 species